ensembl:lncRNA
AGGCUGAGUGCCCAAGAAUUGAUGCUUUUGAACUGUUGUGUUGGAGAAGACUCUUGAGAGUCCCUUGGACUGCAAGGAGAUCCAACCAGUCCAUUCUAAAGGAGAUCAGCCCUGGGUGUUCUUUGGAAGGAAUGAUGCUAAAGCUGAAACUCCAGUACUUUGGCCACCUCAUGUGAAGAGUUGACUCAUUGGGAAAGACUCUGAUGCAGGAGGAAAAGGGGAUGACAGAGGAUGAGAUGGCUGGAUGGUAUCACCGACUCAAUGGACGUGAGUUUGAGUGAACUCUGGGAGUUGGUGAUGGACAGGGAGGCCUGGCGUGCUGCAAUUCAUGGGGUUGCAAAGAGUCAGACAUGACUGAGAGACUGAACUGAACUGAACUGAACUGAACCAGGGAAGCCCUUCACUUACUUUAAAAACCUUAUAUUUCUAUUACUCUUAGGAUAAGCUCUGAAUUCCUUAUCAAGGUCUAACUGACCCCAUGUAAUCUGAUUCCUUUGUGUUGUUGCUCAGUUGUCAAGUUGUGUCAUACUUUUUAUGACCCCAUGGACUGUAGCCUGCCAGGCUCCUCUGUUCAUGGGAUUUCCCAGGCAAAAAUAUUGGAGUGGGUUGCCAUUUCCUUCUCCAGGGGCUCUUCCUGAGCCAAGGAUGGAACCCACAUCUUCUUGGAUGGCAGAUUCUUUACCACUGAGCCACCAGGGAAGCCCUAUGAACUGAUUCCUUAAAUCUCUCCAAACUUUUCUCCAUUUCCCAUCUUUUUCACUCCAGUGACUCCAUCCUUUCUGCGCCUGAAAGACACCGAUUGCCCUCCUACCACAGGCCCUGGGACACGGGCCUCCGGAUCCUCUUGCACUGACUCCUCUGCCUCCUCUCAGCCUCCUCUCUUCUUUUCAGAGAGGCCCUCAUUGAUUUCCCUUGCUAGGCUAUCUUUGAUUCCUCUAUCCUACUGUUCAUAUCUCAUCAUCAGCGAGACCUGCCAUUUCAGCUUCUUAAAUAAAUCCUCUCAAAUCCAUAUCGCCUAGGCUUUCUUUACCACCACCAUGCAUCAGUUCAACGUGUCAAUGUCUCAUCUGUAACAAUAAUUUCUAGUCUUAUCAUAAAAGACUGACAGAAGGUCAACCAUCCCUUUUUUACAGGCAAAGUUUCAAGCUGAGAUAUUUGAUUCUAGACAGACCUUCCUAAGCAUGACUACCAACUUAUACUCAGCAAGAGGCAUACCUGCCCUUGAACUCUCACCUUCCCAACAGAGAUGGAACAAGGAGUACAGAUACCCAUGCCUAGAAGUGUAGUUAAAGGUGUCAGAUUAACAUAUUGGGUUGUGCAGUGAAGAGGUUUCUUUGGGGCUUUGGUGUCCAAUACAUCUGUAUUCACAAUCUAGCUUUUCCAUUGACAAGCUGUGUGAACUUCCACUAGUACUGUAGAUUCUUGGCAUCUUGGUGUCCUCGUAAAUAAAAUGGGAAUAAGGCCCUAUUUGCGAGACUGUUUUGAAGAUAGUGUAAGUACCAAGCAGAGUGCCUGGUCCAUCCUAGACAUUCAGUGCUAAAUUCCUUCUAUUGUUUUUCUUAGAUUUUGCAUAGGAAACAAGGAUGUAAAUCCCCACACAUUUUGAAAUGUGGCCAUUACUGGCACAAGGACUGCCCUUUGCAGUGACUCCAAAUUCAAUCCACAUGCUUGAUAGAGCAAGGAUGGGCAAGUUGAGUUUGAAAAUUCUCAAAAAUGGAAGAACAUUACACAUGCUAUUCCUUGUUUACACCAUUGCAUUGUGCUUAUUUCUACAUUUCCAAGAAUCAUACUAUUUCCGAGAUGCAAGAAGAGUCCUUAGAGGGUAUUUUGGAGUAUAAUAAAAGUAAUUCUGUGCCUGAGUCAGGAGAUAAGGAUGGGAGGUUUGGAUUUGCAGCUAAUGAGCCAUAUGCCUCAUAGUCCUUGCCCUGCUUACCUCAUUGAGUUGGUAAGCCCUUGGUAGGAUGAAUCAAGUCUCCCCAAGAGCAUGCCCGAGAGCCAGGAAAUGGUUAUUGUUUUGACCAGUCAUCAGGGUUUUUCUUUGUUUAAUGUUUUCAGACUUGCUUUUUUUCUAGUUUGUUUUGCUGAAUUCACAAGGGCAGAGUUCAGUGUAGGAGGUGAGGAAGUGUGUCUGGGGAAGCCAAGGAAUUUGAGCAAGGAAGAUAGUGAGCUUUGGAGACUGUGCGAUACCACCUCUUCCCUCAGCCUCCUCUGGAGAACGCCAGUGAAACCACAUAGCACUACAGUCAUUUUGGAAGUCGACUUUUGUACUUUCAGAUGUUAUGUGCAGUUGGCCACCAGCAUAGUCUCUUCCUAGGAAAUUUGGUAACAUGUGGGUAACUCAGAUGGCAAAUUACAUAAUACUUAAGAAAGCACCUUAGAAGUGCUCAUGACAAUCAGAGAUAAGCUGUUAUUCUUUGCUUCAACACAUUGACUUGCAGAUGAAAAAUCUGAAGUGCACAAAGUUUACAUGAUUUGGAUGUGGGUCUAGGGCUUCCCUGGUGGCUCAGUGGUAAAGAAUUCACCUGCUAAGGCAGGAGACAUGGGUUCAAUCCCUGGAUCAGGAAGAUCUUCUGGAAAAGUAAAUGGCUACCCACUCCAGUAUUCUUGCUGGUGUAAUCCCAUAGAUAGAGGAGUCUGGUGGGCUACAGACCUCAGAGUCGCAAAGAGUCAGACAUGCCUGAACACACAGCAACCUUUUAGUACUUUGUAUUCCCCUGGCAUUCAGGGCCUAGAGAUUGUGUUGAAGGUAUACUUACAUGACAGGUAUACUGUCAUAUAUACUGACAGGUAUACUAAUAUUUGCUUAGAUGGAAUGAUUUCUUGGAUUGUCUUUUGUAUGAACUGAUAGAGAACAUAGCUCCCUUCCUCAGUCCCUAGGACUUGUACCUCAUUUUUAUGGUGGCAAACUAGGAACAUGCUGAGUAAAAAAUUGACAAGGGGUGUUCAUAUGUUUUUAUCUUGCUCGAAUCAGCUUAACAAAUAAAAAGAGCAAUAUUAACUUUCUGUUUGAGAUUAGAUCAGAUCAGUCGCUCAGUCGUGUCUGACUCUUUGCGACCCCAUGAAUCACAGCACGCCAGGCCUCCCUGUCCAUCACCAACUCCUGGAGUUCACUCAGACUCACAUCCAUUGAGUCAGCGAUGCCAUCCAGCCAUCUCAUCCUUUGUCGUCCCCUUCUCCUCCUGCCCCCAAUCCCUCCCAACAUCAGAGUCUUUUCCAAUGAGUCAACUCUUCACAUGAG